rnacentral:rRNA from 1 species
AUUGAACGCUGGCGGCAGGCCUAACACAUGCAAGUCGAACGGAGCGGCGGACGGGUGAGUAAUGCAUCGGAAUGUGCCUGGGAGUGGGGGAUGACGACGAGAAACGGGCGCUAAUACCGCCUACUAUAGGAGGAGCCUGGGUCGGAUUAGCUAGUGGGUGGGGUAAGGGCCUACCAAGGCGACGAUCCGUAACUGGUCUGAGAGGAUGAGCAUCCACACUGGAACUGAGACACGGUCCAGACUCCUACGGGAGGCAGCAGUGGGGAAUAUUGGACAAUGGGCGAAAGCCUGAUCCAGCCAUGCCGCGUGUGUGAAGAAGGCCUUCGGAUUGUAAAGCACUUUAAGUUGGGAGGCGUUACCAACAGAAUAAGCACCGGCUAACUUCGUGCCAGCAGCCGCGGUAAUAC